CGCGGCGAGGCCAGGCUAACAACACUGCAAUCCCAGGCUCUUUGGGCCCCAUAGGAAUGCUUUGAUCUCCCCCCAGCUCUAGCGGUCCUCAGCCGACGGCGUGGCCAAACGCCAGGGCUACCCGCGGCGGGUCGCCGUGCGGGGCGCAGCGGGAGGAGGCCGCGCGGGGGCGCUGUGGGGAGGACACGCCGGUCCGCGCUCAGCAUCCGGGCCUGAGACCCAGCGCCCCCGGCUUCCGCGGCCUCCGCGCUCCCUCCGCGUUAACUCAUCGCCCUGUCGCGCCCGCUUCUCCAGCGGGUUCGGCGGUCGGGGGAGGACAGUGAUCGAGUUCGAAGUUCGGAGGGUCUCUGCGUCUCUGGGGUUUCUAUCACUGCUCCUUCCAGCCCUCAAGCGGCUACUCCGAAGAAUGACGAAGGGCCCUACUUGCGUAGAUUCGUGGGAUGAUUUUACCAAGAAGGAAAAGGGGGAAAAGAAAUCACAAUUAUUGAGGGUCCAGCCUUGGUCAGAUUCCGUGUCAGACCCUUCCAACUUGACAUUAUUGACUCUUCACAACUCUUCAUUUUGUAGUCCAGGAAGCAGGCUCCGAGAGACUGCCUAGAAAAAACAGCACCCGGAUCUGAAUUCGAGGCCGUCCCACACCCAUCCCGGUACGGUUCCCAGCAGAACUGAGCUGGAGUGGCCCUGAUGCAAAUGAACUUAGAUCCCAGCUGCUUGUGAUGGAAGCCAAUCCCAGCUUUCCCAAGCUUACAGGUUUUUUCCAGAAGAAGCCAACUUGAUCUCCCGGAACACGAAUUCAGCAGGCUCUCAUCUCAGAACUGCCUCCAAUCCAUCCCAUACCCCUUCACACUUCAGUCCUUGGUAUUUUCUCCGAUCACACCUUCCACUCCUCCUUCAUAUUUGCAAGUCUCUCCCUGCAGAAUCUGCCCCGAGGAGCAAAGGACAUUUUUCCAUGGGGAACAGAAUUUUAGAAUUUCCCUUUGUACCCAGUGAGAAAGACUAAAGUUUGGUAUAGGAAAUAACCCAAAGACAAAUCUAUACACUGCAUAGAACACAGGAAGCCUGGGCUCUGAAAACAUAAAAGACACCAAAUCAUUCCUGGAGCACUUGUGAAGUUUUGGAAAAUUCCUUUAACCUCUCUAAACCUCAGUCUCCUCAUUUGUAAAAUGAACAUAAUAAAUAUUUUUUCUUGCCUAUGUCAAUGGCUUCCUGAUUUCCAAAUGAAAAAAAAAGCAAUUGGAAUUCUUUGAAAAUAAGAAAGCAUUUAAAGCAUAAGAUUUCUAUUUCCCUGUGGAAGCACUGGAAAGGAAAUGUCAUUCUCACUUUGAAGAGGAAGAGGGAUGCAGCAAGGUAAUAAACGCUUUCUAAAUAAGCACGUUGAUUCAAUGCUUUUCAUUUCUCUUCAGAGGAAACCCUGUUAUUGUGCAAGAAAGGAUGAGUCCAGCUUCAACUCUUACCUCACUCAGCUAAGGCUGGUUUCCAGCUGGAACUAUAAGCUGGGUUGUUUUCUUUUAUAUUACUUAUACUUUUAAUUACGGAAAUUUU
rnacentral:lncRNA from 1 species